rnacentral:rRNA from 1 species
UACGUAGGGUGCAAGCGUUAAUCGGAAUUACUGGGCGUAAAGCGUGCGCAGGCGGUUCGUUGUGUCGGCGGUGAAAGCCCCCGGGCUUAACCUGGGAAUGGCCGUUGAAACUGGCGAACUGGAGUGUGGCAGAGGGGGGGUGGAAUUCCGCGUGUAGCAGUGAAAUGCGUAGAGAUGCGGAGGAGCACCGAUGGCGAAGGCAGCCCCCCCUGGGCUAACACUGACGCUCAGGCACGAAAGCGUGGGGGAGCAAACAGG